rnacentral:rRNA from 1 species
GAUGAACGCUGGCGGCGUGCCUAAUACAUGCAAGUCGAGCGAACGGACGCUGCGCUUGCUUCUCUGAUGUUAGCCGAAGACGGGAGUGAAACACGUGUAUACCCUCCCUGUAAUACUGAGAUCACUUCGGGAAACCGGAGCUAAUACCAGAUGAUCUUUUGAACCGCGGGGUUCAAAGGUGAGAGACGGCCUUGGGGUAACUUAUCGAUGGAUCCGCGCUGCAUUAGCUGGUUGGUAAGGUAACGGCUUACCUAGGCAACGAUGCAUAGCCGACCUGAGAGGGUGGUCGGCCACACUGGAACUGAGACGCGGUCCAGACGCCUACGGGAGGCAGCAGUAGGGAAUCUUCCGCAAUGGGCGAAAGCCUGACGGAGCAACGCCGCGUGAGUGAUGAAGGUCUUCGGAUCGGAAAACUCUGUUAUUAGGGAAGAACCGAUGUCUCAGUAACCGUGCACAUAUUGACGGUAACUAAUCAGAAAGCCACGGCUAACUACGUG